rnacentral:rRNA from 1 species
GUGAGGAAUAUUGGUCAAUGGACGGAAGUCUGAACCAGCCAAGUAGCGUGCAGGAUGACGGCCCUAUGGGUUGUAAACUGCUUUUAUGCGGGGGUAAAGUGAGUGACGUGUCAUUCAUUGCAAGUACCGCAAGAAUAAGGACCGGCUAAUUCCGUGCCAGCAGCCGCGGUAAUACGGAAGGUCCUGGUGUUAUCCGGAUUUAUUGGGUUUAAAGGGAGCGUAGGCCGUCAGGCAAGCGUGUUGUGAAAUGUCGUGGCUCAACCAUGGACUUGCAGCGCGAACUGCCCGACUUGAGUGCGCGGAAAGCAGGCGGAAUUUGUGGUGUAGCGGUGAAAUGCUUAGAUAUCACGAAGAACCCCGAUUGCGAAGGCAGCCUGCUGUAGCGCUACUGACGCUGAAGCUCGAAAGUGCGGGUAUCGAACAGGAUUAGAAACCCGAGUAGUCC